rnacentral:lncRNA from 10 species
AUCUUCCUGCCUCAGCCUCCCAAAGUGCUGGGAUUACAGGUGUGAGCCACUGCGCCCAGUCAUGCCCAUGUGUUUUGGUGGUCUUGGCUGCUGAUGGGUGGGGUGAGCCCCAGGAGGAAGUUGGGACAAGUCAACCUCAUGGCAGAUGUGCCAGGGAGAGCUGCGGGUGAGAUAGAUUGUUCCUAUCCCCCUCUCCUUGAUGUGGGAGGACUCAGUACCUCCAGCACACCCUUCUCAUGGAGGUUGGUUAUGUGGUACUUGGCCUCAAGUGAACCAGCACUUCAUGAGUCCAGCUUUGUGCUAGACCAGCACUUGGGAUUGAGGGGGGCAGUGGCCACCCUCGGGGGACCUUCUGACUCAGAGGACAUGAGAUGGCCACACUCGAGCACUGUGUUCCUGACCUUUCUGGGUCACAGGUCACCUUGAUGAUUGGAUGAAAGUCUUAGAUCUUCUUUCCAGAGAAAAGUCUACAACAUUCUACUGAACCAGUCCAGAGGGUUCCCGGACCCCCGAAGCCCACCCAUGGGCUGGCUCUGGGAGGCAAUGGCGCUGAGUAUGGGGGCAUCUCUCGCAUGGAUCCCCACAGAUGGUACGGAGGGAUAUCGGGCUGUCGGUGACGCACAGGUUCUCCACCAAGUCCUGGCUGUCGCAGGUCUGCCACGUGUGCCA